rnacentral:rRNA from 1 species
UAGUCCACGCCGUAAACGAUGGUUACUAGCUGUUUGGACUUCGGUCUGAGUGGCUAAGCGAAAGUGAUAAGUAACCCACCUGGGGAGUACGUUCGCAAGAAUGAAACUCAAAGGAAUUGACGGGGGCCCGCACAAGCGGUGGAGCAUGUGGUUUAAUUCGAUGAUACGCGAGGAGCCUUACUAGGGCUUAAAUGUAGAUUGACAGGUUUAGAGAUAGACUUUUCUUCGGACAAUUUACAAGGUGCUGCAUGGUUGUCGUCAGCUCGUGCCGUGAGGUGUCAGGUUAAGUCCUAUAACGAGCGCAACCCCUGUUGUUAGUUGCCAGCGAGUCAAGUCGGGAACUCUAACAAGACUGCCAGUGCAAACUGCGAGGAAGGUGGGGAUGACGUCAAAUCAUCACGGCCCUUACGUCCUGGGCCACACACGUGCUACAAUGUAGGUACAGAGAGCAGCCACGAUGCAAGUCGGAGCGAAUCUACAAAACCCUAUCACAGUUCGGAUCGGGGU